rnacentral:rRNA from 1 species
UUAUCGGAAUGAGAACAGUUCAAAUCCUUUAACGAGGAUCUAGCGGAGGGCAAGUCUGGUGCCAGCAGCCGCGGUAAUUCCAGCUCCGCAGGUGUAUAUCUAUGCUGCUGCGGUUAAAAAGCUCGUAGUUGGAUCUGCGUGCUCGGAACUGGUUGGCUCACUGAGUUCAAACUGGUCUCCGGCGCUUUAUUGGCUGGUUUUCCCUUGAUGCUCUUAACCGGGUGUCUUGGGUGGCUAGCACGUUUACUUUGAAAAAAUUAGAGUGCUCAAUACAGGCGUAAAGCCUUGAAUAGUGGUGCAUGGAAUAAUAGAAUAGGACCUCGGCUCUAUUUUGUUGGUUUUCGGAACGCGAGGUAAUGAUUAAGAGGGACAGACGGGGGCAUUCGUAUUGCGACGUUAGAGGUGAAAUUCUUGGAUCGUCGCAAGACGGACGACUGCGAAAGCAUUUGCCAAGAAUGUUUUCAUUAAUCAAGAACGAAAGUUAGAGGUUCGAAGGCGAUCAGAUACCGCCCUAGUUCUAACCGUAAACGAUGCCAACUAGCGAUUCGCAGGCGUUAAACAACGACCUUGCGGGCAGCUUCCCGGAAACGAAAGUGUUCGGGUUCCGGGGGAAGUAUGGUUGCAAAGCUGAAACUUAAAGGAAUUGACGGAAGGGCACCACCAGGAGUGGAGCCUGCGGCUUAAUUUGACCCAACACGGGAAAACUCGCCCGGCCCGGACACCGUAAGGAUUGACAGAUUGAGAGCUCUUUCUUGAUUCGGUGGGUGGUGGUGCAUGGCCGUUCUUAGUUGGUGGAGCGAUUUGUCUGGUUUAUUCCGAUAACGAACGAGACUCUGGCCUACUAAAUAGUGGGCGGAUUCUUUCUGUCCGCAACACUUCUUAGAGGGACAAGCGGUGUUCAGCCGCACGAGAUUGAGCAAUAACAGGUCUGUGAUGCCCUUAGAUGUCCGGGGCUGCACGCGCGCUACACUGAAGGAAUCAGCGUGCUUUCUGACCUUGCCCGAAAGGGCUGGGUAACCCGAUGAAAAUCCUUCGUGAUUGGGAUAGGGACUUGCAAUUAUUUCCCUUGAACAAGGAAUUCCCAGUAAGUGUGGGUCAUAAGCUCGCGUUGAUUACGUCCCUGCCCUUUGUACACACCGCCCGUCGCUGCCCGGAACUGAGCUGUUUCGAGAAGAACAGCGACCGUCGUUGAAGGGCCUUAACGGGCUUUUCUCUGAUAGAAACUGUU